rnacentral:rRNA from 1 species
UGAGUUUGAUCAUGGCUCAGAUUGAACGCUGGCGGCAGGCCUAACACAUGCAAGUCGAACGGUAACAUGAAGUGCUUGCACUUUGAUGACGAGUGGCGGACGGGUGAGUAAUGCUUGGGAAUUUGCCUUUGCGCGGGGGAUAACCAUUGGAAACGAUGGCUAAUACCGCAUAAUGUCUACGGACCAAAGGGGGCUUAGGCUCCCACGUGAAGAGAAGCCCAAGUGAGAUUAGCUAGUUGGUGAGGUAAAGGCUCACCAAGGCAACGAUCUCUAGCUGUUCUGAGAGGAAGAUCAGCCACACUGGGACUGGGACACGGCCCAGACUCCUACGGGAGGCAGCAGUGGGGAAUAUUGCGCAAUGGGGGCAACCCUGACGCAGCCAUGCCGCGUGUGUGAAGAAGGCCUUCGGGUUGUAAAGCACUUUCAGUUAUGAGGAAAGGUUGGUAGUUAAUACCUGCCAACUGUGACGUUAGUAACAGAAGAAGCACCGGCUAACUCCGUGCCAGCAGCCGCGGUAAUACGGAGGGUGCGAGCGUUAAUCGGAA